GUACUCGCUUCGGCGGUACAUAUACUAAAUUUGGAACGAUACAGAGAAGAUUAGCAUGGCCCCUGCGCAAAGG
rnacentral:snRNA from 1 species